rnacentral:rRNA from 1 species
AUUGAACGCUGGCGGCAGGCCUAACACAUGCAAGUCGAGCGGAUGAAGGGAGCUUGCUCCUGGAUUCAGCGGCGGACGGGUGAGUAAUGCCUAGGAAUCUGCCUGGUAGUGGGGGAUAACGUCCGGAAACGGGCGCUAAUACCGCAUACGUCCUGAGGGAGAAAGUGGGGGAUCUUCGGACCUCACGCUAUCAGAUGAGCCUAGGUCGGAUUAGCUAGUUGGUGGGGUAAAGGCCUACCAAGGCGACGAUCCGUAACUGGUCUGAGAGGAUGAUCAGUCACACGGGAACUGGAACACGGUCCAGACUACUACGGGAGGCAGCAGUGGGGAAUAUUGGACAAUGGGGGAAAGCCUGAUCCAGCCAUGCCGCGUGUGUGAAGAAGGUCUUCGGAUUGUAAAGCACUUUAAGUUGGGAGGAAGGGCAGUAAGUUAAUACCUUGCUGUUUUGACGUUACCAACAGAAUAAGCACCGGCUAACUUCGUG